rnacentral:rRNA from 1 species
UACGUAGGGGGGCUAGCGUUGUCCGGAUUUAUUGGGCGUAAAGCGCGUGUAGGCGGCCAGAUAGGUCUGCUGUGAAAACUCGAGGCUCAACCUCGAGCUGUCGGCGGAAACCAUUUGGCUAGAGUCCGGAAGAGGCGAGUGGAAUUCCUGGUGUAGCGGUGAAAUGCGCAGAUAUCAGGAGGAACACCGAUUGCGAAGGCAGCUCGCUGGGACGUAACUGACGCUGAGACGCGAAAGCGUGGGGAGCAAACAGG